rnacentral:ncRNA from 2 species
ACACCAUCCGGAGCGGCCGAGAGACCCGGCUCGACGACGCCGCAGCAACCCCCCGCAGCAGCGGGUGCGGGUGCUCCAGCCGGGUUCGAUGGAGG